GAGGGGGUCAGGGUGGCCGGUGACACAGGGAGGACACGCAAACACAAGGCGUCUGCUGGAAAUCAAACUGAGGAACUUUCUGAGGUGCUUUGAGGCACUGCUGGACAGCCCAUAUGAUACAUUUUGGCAGAUGACAUCAUCAGCUGUUUGGCCUAUCUCCAUCACAUGUGCAGCAGCAGGACUGAGCCACGCUUCCUCUCGUACUUUGACUCAUCAGCCUUCAGAUUCUCAUCUCUAAUUAGCGGCGAGGAGACGAGUUAACCUGAGGUGAACGCGCGCCCGGGCGUCUCCGUGAGCAUGUGUAUGUUUUCAUCCACAAUCAUGCGAUGCCAAGAAGCACACAAGAAGCACACACGUGGAGGAGGCACACGGCUAUCACCUCCUCAGGCUCCGGCUCACCUGCAACACACUCGGAGACUCAUUAGUGAAGGAAGGAGGACGAGUGGAAGGAGCUGAGGGAGGAGCUGAGGGAAGGAGGAGGCGAAGGGUCUGUGUGUGAGUGAAGGCAGUUGUUUGUGUGUGUAAUGUAUUGACCAAGUAAGAUUAAACGAUUUAUGAUGAAUUAGA